GUAGGUGGCAAGCGUUGUCCGGAAUUAUUGGGCGUAAAGCGCGCGCAGGUGGUUUCUUAAGUCUGAUGUGAAAGCCCACGGCUCAACCGUGGAGGGUCAUUGGAAACUGGGGAACUUGAGUGCAGAAGAGGAAAGUGGAAUUCCACGUGUAGCGGUGAAAUGCGUAGAGAUGUGGAGGAACACCAGUGGCGAAGGCGACUUUCUGGUCUGUAACUGACACUGAGGCGCGAAAGCGUGGGGAGCAAACAGGGAUUAGAUACCCUGGUAGUCCACGCCGUAAACGAUGAGUGCUAAGUGUUAGGGGGGUUUCCGCCCCCUUAGUGCUGCAGCUAACGCAUUAAGCACUCCGCCUGGGGAGUACGGCCGCAAGGCUG
rnacentral:rRNA from 1 species